CUUCUUUUUUUUUUUUUGGUUCUUUUUUUUUUUUUUUUGGAGCUGGGGACCUAACCCAGGGCCUUGCGCUUCCUAGGCAAGCGCUCUACCACUGAGCUAAAUCCCCAACCCCCCCCUUCUUUAUGGGUGUUCCCCUCCCCAUCCUCCCCCCCAUUGUUGCCUUCUCCCCAACAAUCUAGUUCACUGGGGGUUCAGUCUUAGCAGGACCCAGCGCUUCCCCUUCCACUGGUGCUCUUACUAGGAUAUUCAUUGCUACCUAUGAGGUCAGAGUCCAGGGUCAGUCCAUGUAUAGUCUUUAGGUAGUGGCUUAGUCCCUGGAAGCUCUGGUUGCUUGGCAUUGUUGUACAUAUGGGGUCUCGAGCCCCUUCAAGCUCUUCCAGUUCUUUCUCUGAUUCCUUCAACGGGGGUCCUAUUCUCAGUUCAGUGGUUUGCUGUUGGCAUUUGCCUCUGUGUUUGCUGUAUUCUGGCUGUGUCUCUCAGGAGCGAUCUACAUCCGGCUCCUGUCGGCCUGCACUUCUUUGCUUCAUCCAUCUUGUCUAAUUGGAUGGCUGUAUAUGUAUGGGCCACAUGUGGGGCAGGCUCUGAAUGGGUGUUCCCUCUGUGUCUGUUUUAAUCUUCAUUGACAAUAUUUUUAUGCUGAAGAUUGAAACCUAGGUCAUUGAGUAUUGUUUUCUCCUUAGUGUCAAAGUGACCAGGCACGUGUUGAUUUUUUUUUUUUUUGGUUUGGUUUGUUUGUAUGCAUUUUGAUACUGGUUCUCAUCAUGUAACUCAUCCAUACUGGCAUCCAGUUUACAAUAUUUCUGUCUUGGUGUUGUAAGUGAUCAUUUUAUAGGCUCACCACAUACCUAUUCCAUUCAUUCACUUAUUCACUAGUGUUCCCUGUAUACCUAACAGGACAACUAACUGCAUACGUAACCAGUCCAGGAGAUAUUAUUUUAGGCUGUAUUUGGGCCCAGAAUUUUAUGUGAAUCAAUAGCUCUGACAUAGAAGUACUGCCCUAAAUCUUGAGGGUUUUUUUUUUUCUAUCACAGGCCCCUCAAACUACUGUACCAAUAACAGGUGACCAUACACCAUGUUCAUUCUUUUCAGCUUUUAAACAUACCUUGAGGCGGAGGACCUUGGCUGGAUUAAUGAUGAGCUGUGUUUACUGAGCAUAAUGAAAUGACGCUCAAAAUAAUUACUCUGAAGUCUAGCCAAAGUGUCAGUUUAAGGACUUAUGUAACAAAACUUAAGUUCUUAAAAUAUGAUACAAGAUUUUCUCAAGGAGACUGGAGCUGUAGAUCUUUACAUAUAGCAAGUUUUAAAUGUGUUUCAUGUUAUGUGUAAAGUGCCUUUGUGUUUCUAAUACAAUAAGUUUCACCUUCUUUUCUAUAUUAGAACUCAGAAGCUAGUGUACUUCCCAGUUAUCCAAUAAGUACCCUGUGUGAUAGUUCCCUGAGCAUGUUCCUAGUCAUUUUGACUGUAUUGUUACUAAUAUAUGCAUUGACCUUUUUUUGUUGAAGUGUUCUGUUAAGGUGUUUUCCAUUGAAUGCUCUUAUAAAAUAACUAAUUACAAGGGAAAUUUCUAUAAUACACUUGUUAAAGUGAUUUUUUUUUAAUGGAAGACAGGUCAGUGUUACUUUCAUGUUUGAGUCAUUGAGUCAUUAUUUUUAAGUACAUUGGUGAAGUAAUUCCAGUGUUAUGGUUUGGCAUUUUCUUGAUAGUAAGAAAUAAAAUAAAUAAAAGUAGAAUCCCUGUAGUAUAGAUUAUACUCUUAUUGCUUAAUGUGGCUUUCCUUUCAAGGAACAGGUUUCUUUUAUCAUUGCUACUAUGCAGUUUUGUACAGUGUGCUUUAUAAUAACACUCAUGGUUAUUUUUUGUCAGAGAAUAUUAUGUUAAUAUAUAUAUAUAUAUAUAUAUAUAUAUAUAUAUAUAUAUGAGAAGACUUUUUGGCAUGGUAGAAUUACAAACAUCGUGUUAUGAUAUCUGCAGUUAUACAGAGAAUCAUAGAUCUACAUAUCCAAUAGUGAGCCAUGUUUAUUUAAUCAUGUGAAGAAAAGUGAUGGAUUAUGUUUUGCAGGAUAUUUGAAGAUAAUAAAAUUUUUAGAUCAAUAAAUUAAAUUACUAAAAUGCUUAUUCAGGAAUUUCUAGAUUAUUGUUUCAUGGCAAAUUAAGAGAAUUUAUGAUUAUACCAUUUGAAAAAGAUGAUAUAUGUGACAACUAUUAACUGAUUUUAUUCCAAUGAAAGGUUCUUAAAUAUUUUGUUGAUGAACCUAAUGUUAACACAUCACAACCUUAAUAUACUAAUGCGUAUCUAAAAGAAAUAACAACAUUUAAAUGCAAAUUUCUGGUCAUACCUUAUAUUUGCACACUUGUUUUAUAUACAAAUAUAUUUUUAUCACAAAAAAUCUUAAUUUAAAUUAGAAUUGGAUACUGAGAAUAGAUUAGAACUUUGGUUUUCAACAGAGUAUAGUAUAUGAAUUCUUAAGUAUUAUGGUACAGCAAUUUUUCCUGUUAUUGGUUAAUUGAGAACAGCUUAGUGGGGAUGGGAGCAUAGGGGAAGAACUGCUAGGCAGGGGAAAACUUUUUAAAUUGGAAUUGCUGAAUCAUACUCUGGAUUUGCUAAUUUAGUCAUGCCCAAUUUAUCAGUCUAACACUCAGCUCCUUUCUGCCUGUAGUUUUUUUUUUUUAAAUAUGACCC
ensembl:lncRNA